rnacentral:sRNA from 1 species
GGCAACCCACCCCUGAUUGGACAGUCUCAUCAAGAAGGUUGGUCAAGAGCUCAAGUGUUUCUGAGAAUCUAGGUGAUUUAUAAGAAACCCUUAGCUGAAUGCAGGGUGGGGAGAACAAAAGAAAGACAAAAGCCUCUUUUUUCAGAAGGGAAACUGAAAGAAAGAGGGGAAGAGUAUUAAAGCUCUUUAAAGGGAAACUGAAAGAAAGAGGGGAAGAGUAUUAAAGACCAUUUCUGGCUGGGCAGGGCAUUCUCAGCAGCUCAACUGCCCAGCGUGACCAGUGGCCACCUCUGCAGUGUCUUCCACAACCUGGAGUGUAGUAUUUGUUAAACAGGUAAAUCUACUUCUCUUAACAAAGACUCAAUGUCCUAUUUGCAAUUUAUACGGUAAACACUGAAGACAAUGGUCCUUAACCUUUUGGCAUCUCAGCCUCCUUUGGAAAGGUUUUACAGCAAGUUAAAAUGAAGCUGGAGUUCAGCCAAUCUUUGGAAUCCUAAGAAGCACAAGAAAUUUAAUAACAGCAGUCGUAACGUAGUUACAUCUUGCUUUACAGUUUACAAAGUUCUACCAUGCCUUUUUUUCUCAUUUUGU